rnacentral:misc_RNA from 1 species
GAUGAAGAACGCAGCGAAAUGCGAUACGUAAUGUGAAUUGCAGAAUUCAGUGAAUCAUCGAAUCUUUGAACGCAUAUUGCGCUCUCUGGUAUUCCGGAGAGCAUGCUUGUUUGAGUAUCAGUAAACACCUCAACUUCCAUAUCUUUUUUGAAAUGGGAGUUGGACUUGAGUGAUCCCAACGCUUUUCCUCACCGAAAAGUGGCGGGUUACUUGAAAUGCAGGUGCAGCUGGACUUUUCUCUGAGCUAUAAGCAUAUCUAUUUAGUCUGCCUAAAAAACAGAUUAUUACCUUUGCUGCAGCUAACAUAAAGGAGAUUAGUUCUUGUGCUGACUGAUGCAGGAUUCACAAAGCCAGGCUUCGGCCGACUUUGUAAACUCGAUCUCAAAUCAAGUAAGACUACCCGCUGAACUUAAGCAUAUCAAUAAGCGGAGGA